CGAACGAUGAACCUCACUUCGGGAGGGGAUUAGUGGCGAACGGGUGAGUAACACGUGGGCAAUCUGCCCUGCACCCCGGGACAAGCCCUGGAAACGGGGUCUAAUACCGGAUACGACUCUCGCGGGCAUCCGCGAGGGUGGAAAGCUCCGGCGGUGCAGGAUGAGCCCGCGGCCUAUCAGCUGGUUGGUGGGGUAACGGCCCACCAAGGCGACGACGGGUAGCCGGCCUGAGAGGGCGACCGGCCACACUGGGACUGAGACACGGCCCAGACUCCUACGGGAGGCAGCAGUGGGGAAUAUUGCACAAUGGGCGCAAGCCUGAUGCAGCGACGCCGCGUGAGGGAUGACGGCCUUCGGGUUGUAAACCUCUUUCAGCAGGGAAGAAGCGCAAGUGACGGUACCUGCAGAAGAAGCGCCGGCUAACUACGUGCCAGCAGCCGCGGUAAUACGUAGGGCGCGAGCGUUGUCCGGAAUUAUUGGGCGUAAAGAGCUCGUAGGCGGCCUGUCACGUCGGGUGUGAAAGCCCGGGGCUUAACCCCGGGUCUGCAUUCGAUACGGGCAGGCUGGAGUUCGGCAGGGGAGAUCGGAAUUCCUGGUGUAGCGGUGAAAUGCGCAGAUAUCAGGAGGAACACCGGUGGCGAAGGCGGAUCUCUGGGCCGAUACUGACGCUGAGGAGCGAAAGCGUGGGGAGCGAACAGGAUUAGAUACCCUGGUAGUCCACGCCGUAAACGUUGGGCACUAGGUGUGGGAUCCAUUCCACGGGUUCCGUGCCGCAGCUAACGCAUUAAGUGCCCCGCCUGGGGAGUAC
rnacentral:rRNA from 1 species